GACGAACGCUGGCGGCGUGCUUAACACAUGCAAGUCGAACGGUGAAGGGGCCUGCUUUUGUGGGUCCUGGAUGAGUGGCGAACGGGUGAGUAACACGUGAGUAACCUGCCCCCUUCUUCUGGAUAACCGCAUGAAAGUGUGGCUAAUACGGGAUAUUCUGGGUCUGUCGCAUGGUGGGCCUGGGAAAGGUUUUUUUCCGGUGGGGGAUGGGCUCGCGGCCUAUCAGCUUGUUGGUGGGGUGAUGGCCUACCAAGGCGGUGACGGGUAGCCGGCCUGAGAGGGUGGACGGUCACACUGGGACUGAGACACGGCCCAGACUCCUACGGGAGGCAGCAGUGGGGAAUAUUGCACAAUGGGCGCAAGCCUGAUGCAGCGACGCCGCGUGAGGGAUGGAGGCCUUCGGGUUGUGAACCUCUUUCGCCAGUGAAGCAGGCCUGCUCCUUUUUUGUGGGUGGGUUAGAACGGAGCUGGAUAAGAAGCGCCG
rnacentral:rRNA from 1 species